GACGAACGCUGGCGGCGUGCUUAACACAUGCAAGUCGAACGGAAAGGCCCUGCUUUUGUGGGGUGCUCGAGUGGCGAACGGGUGAGUAACACGUGAGUAACCUGCCCUUGACUUUGGGAUAACUUCAGGAAACUGGGGCUAAUACCGGAUAGGAGCUCCUGCUGCAUGGUGGGGGUUGGAAAGUUUCGGCGGUUGGGGAUGGACUCGCGGCUUAUCAGCUUGUUGGUGGGGUAGUGGCUUACCAAGGCUUUGACGGGUAGCCGGCCUGAGAGGGUGACCGGCCACAUUGGGACUGAGAUACGGCCCAGACUCCUACGGGAGGCAGCAGUGGGGAAUAUUGCACAAUGGGCGGAAGCCUGAUGCAGCAACGCCGCGUGCGGGAUGACGGCCUUCGGGUUGUAAACCGCUUUCACCUGUGACGAAGCGUGAGUGACGGUAAUGGGUAAAGAAGCACCGGCUAACUACGUGCCAGCAGCCGCGGUGAUACGUAGGGUGCGAGCGUUGUCCGGAUUUAUUGGGCGUAAAGGGCUCGUAGGUGGUUGAUCGCGUCGGAAGUGUAAUCUUGGGGCUUAACCCUGAGCGUGCUUUCGAUACGGGUUGACUUGAGGGAGGGUAGGGGAGAAUGGAAUUCCUGGUGGAGCGGUGGAAUGCGCAGAUAUCAGGAGGAACACCAGUGGCGAAGGCGGUUCUCUGGGCCUUUCCUGACGCUGAGGAGCGAAAGCGUGGGGAGCGAACAGGCUUAGAUACCCUGGUAGUCCACGCUGUAAACGGUGGGUACUAGGUGUGGGGUCCAUUCCACGGGUUCCGUGCCGUAGCUAACGCUUUAAGUACCCCGCCUGGGGAGUACGGCCGCAAGGCUAAAACUCAAAGGAAUUGACGGGGCCCCGCACAAGCGGCGGAGCAUGCGGAUUAAUUCGAUGCAACGCGUAGAACCUUACCUGGGUUUGACAUGGAUCGGGAGUGCUCAGAGAUGGGUGUGCCUCUUUUGGGGUCGGUUCACAGGUGGUGCAUGGCUGUCGUCAGCUCGUGUCGUGAGAUGUUGGGUUAAGUCCCGCAACGAGCGCAACCCUUGUUCACUGUUGCCAGCACGUUAUGGUGGGGACUCAGUGGAGACCGCCGGGGUCAACUCGGAGGAAGGUGGGGAUGACGUCAAGUCAUCAUGCCCCUUAUGUCCAGGGCUUCACGCAUGCUACAAUGGCUGGUACAGAGAGUGGCGAGCCUGUGAGGGUGAGCGAAUCUCGGAAAGCCGGUCUCAGUUCGGAUUGGGGUCUGCAACUCGACCUCAUGAAGUCGGAGUCGCUAGUAAUCGCAGAUCAGCAACGCUGCGGUGAAUACGUUCCCGGG
rnacentral:rRNA from 1 species